CUUCCUAUCUUCAAUCCCCAGCCAUCCUCCCCAUCUUCCUCCUCCAGCCGAGAUCCUUCCCUGCUUGCUCGAGAUCGCCUCAGCCUCCGGCCAUGGAGCUCGCCCCUGCUCGACGCCCUUGCUUUUCCCCCAGCUCCGGCGUUCGUCGCGCCCCCUGUGCCGCAACCUCGCCGAAUCGUGCCCCUGCUCCUCUCCAUCCAUGGCUGCGCUCGACCUCCACUUCAAGCCGCGCCCUGGGAUUUGCACAGAACCUCCAUCCCCUCGACACCAGUUCUCAGCUCCUCCGCCUCCCUAUGUUUGGUCGCCUCUCUGUUUUCCCCAUCUGGCCGUCGUUCUUCAGCCCAGGCCAUCAUGGCGCCCUCUGUCCAACACGCCGUUGUCCACUGCAAGCUUGCCGACUCGCCCUUCUUUAGGGUCGUCGCCAGCAGCUGCUGCUCCUCCUCUCUUCGCCCUGCUGCGCUCUGGUGGUCGCCAGUUCCCAGCUCCUACUCAACCGGUGUCAGGCUCGGACCACCUUGUCGCGUUGCUUUUUGUUGUGGCCAUCUAGUCGUUGAUGCUCGGUCUCCCCUGUUAGCAUCAUCAACCGUUCCUGGACCAAAUCGUUGCCCUCUGAUCUCUUUGUCAAUGUCAGGCACUCUUUUCCUUUCUUCUCAUAUUACCAAUACGUGUUGUGUUUUGCUCUAGUGAUCCUUCUCAUCUUGCCUGUUUUGUCCAUGUGUGUAUUGUGCUGUAGGGUGAGGAUGAAAGGGGGGUUAGUGAUGAUGGAGAAAACUAGUGUAUCGUGUGCUGUUUGUUUGAUGAAAUGUUUAAGCCGGGAUCUUAAAUGUUGAGGAAAGGAUUCUCCUUCCUCUUUUGCUUUGCGAUAUUAUGGUUGUUUUUAGUAUUAUUGAAAUAUCUCGUUAUAUGCAAUAUAGCGGUUGAGUUCAUAUGGGUGAAGUAGCCGUGGCUUGGGAAACCUAGGUCUAAGGUAGAAAUGAUGCGAGGAGUGCUUAGGUAAACAUGUAUGUCUAAUGGGAAUGGGGUUCGUGAUGGUGGAGUAAACACGUCGUGUAACAGAGUUUGGUUUGAGGUGUAUGGUGAUAUGCCUCUAUGGUAUGUCAUGAUUUAGGCACCGUAGUGUUCAGGAUGUAGACGUUCUAUUUAUUGUGAAUUUUAGGUUUAAGGCACAAGAUAUGUACUGUAUAAUUGAAUCGAUUCUAUUUUGAGACAUGGUAUUUAAGUGAUGUGAAUGGAAAUUUAGUGUUUUAAGUAAUUAGUCGAUUAGUUCUGUCAAUGUUGUUUGUGAGGAAUUUUGAGGUGUGAGGUAGAGCACAUUAGGAUCACCUUUUUUGCAAACUCACAUUUUAUGAGAAUGCCAAGGGCACCACUUGUCUGUAGCAUGAUGUCCUUCAGGUAGGCAAUCUAGCUGGCUUGAACUCCCUUUUUUGCAUCACUUAAUGUUAUCCAGGUUUUAGCAGUAGCUUUCAGAGCAAGCAUAUUUAUUCCAAAUCAUUCUUUUACAUUAUAACACUUUCUUAAUAGUUUUAAAAUUGUUUUCUGCUUUUGCACCAGCGUUUUAACUCCAUACUUCAAAGAGGAGGUGCUCUUUUCACCAGAAGAUCUUCAUAGGAAAAAUGAGGAUGGUAUAUCAAUACUGUUCUACCUACGGAAAAUAUAUCCAGAUGAAUUUAGGAACUUCCUUUAGCAGAUAGAUUUUAAACUGAAGGAUGAAGAAGAACUUAAAGAAAUGAUGGAUGAGAUCUGUAAUUGGGCGUCUUAUAGGGGUCAAAUUCUCACCAGAACAGUAAGAGGAAUGAUGUACUACAGAAAGGCACUUGAAAUCCAAUGCCUUCAAGAUAUGACAGAUCCUGCUAAAGUUGACCAAGACAGACCAAUAGGAUCCUACCAAGGGUUGCAAUCUGAUAUUGAAAUGGCACAAGCUAUUGUUGAUAUCAAAUUCACCUAUGUUGUCUCAUGUCAAGUUUAUGGCAUGCAAAAGAAAUCAAAGGAUUUAAAUGAAAAAAGGCGCUAUCAGAAUAUCCUCAGUCUCAUGAUAAUGAACCCAUCACUACGAGUUGCUUUCAUUAAUGAGGUCGAAGCUCCAACCAGAAAUGGAGCAACUGAGAAGACAUAUUAUUCCGUUCUUGUCAAAGGUGGUGAAAAGUAUGAUGAGAUAUUGGAGAGGGAAAACCUGAAAACCAAAAUCAUGGACUUCAUCAAGUUUGAUGUCGGCAACGUGGUCAUGGUGACCGGCGGGAGGAACACCGGGCGUGUAGGAGUGAUCAAGAACAGGGAGAAACACAAGGGCAGCUUUGAGACCAUCCAUGUCGAGGACUCCGUGGGCCACCAGUUCGCCACCCAGAUGGGCAACGUGUUCACCAUCGGCAAGGGCAACAAGCCGUGGGUGAGCCUGCCCAAGGGCAGGGGUAUCAAGCUCAGCAUCAUCGAGGAGCAGAGGAGGCGCGAUUUCAUUGCCCAGGCUGCUGCCAACGCAUAAGUUCUCUGAACGUGCUGCUUGGAGCUUUUUGCUAUGUCUAGUUUUCUCCUAUUUGUUGUACACGAAAAGAUAGGAAAAGAUAGAAUGGAAUUUAAAUUUGGUGGCCGCAAAAGUGUGGAGACUUAAAUUCAUGUAAAGUUAGGCUUAACAUUAGUGCAAACAGUUGUAUUUUAGUUUAGAUUUAGAGUACACUUAUGUAUGAGU